CUGGGUGGCUCAGUGGGUUGAGCGUCUGACUUCAGCUCAGGUCACGAUCUCACAGUUCGUGAGUUCGAACCCCACAUCCAGA
rnacentral:tRNA from 1 species